UAAAAGAUGAAAACAGUACUUUCUAUUAUUUUCGUAUUAUUUUUUGAGCAUGUUGUGGGUCUGAAAGAUCCUGUUUGCGGUCCAAAGAAACCAAUGUUAUAAACUCAAAGAUCCAUGUAAGAAGUUAGUCCGAAAAUUUGCAACGAAAGCGAUCUGCCAAGAGACAUGUGUGGAGUAGCUAAUGCGUUAUUAUGAUUUGAAAAGUACAAAUUUACUAUGUAUUAG